CAACAAUAAAAUUCUGUAUAGGGGACUCAAUUCACAAUCAAUAAUCAACCCCAAGCCUAAUUCUCAAUAGUCUCCAAUCUUCUGAAGCAUAACAAACAAGUUUUUACAUGGUGAACAAGUUCCUACAUAGUGAGUAAGUUCUCACAUGGUGAACAGUGCAAGGGCAGUCAUCACAGAAACUUUCAGUUUUGAUCACGCAUCAUGAACUAUAAACAAUCAGGUCAAAUAUGAUUAUUCGUUUGAUUUUUAUACUUGAUUUAUAUGUGAAUCCCACAUUUCUCCCUUAUUAUUAUUAUUAUUUUUAAUAAAAUGCUGAAGUGGUAGGUAGAUGCAAGAUAAAGGUAGAAAGCAUAGUUUAGUGCUGUAAGAGGGCAAAUGUAGAUGAUCAGAUGAUCAGGUCUGUGCCUAUAGACUAAGUAUUAAUCCAAGCUAGACAAGGGCAACAAAA